GGGGUGAUAGCUCAGUUGGGAGAGCGCACGACUGAAGUACACUUCAAUCUGCAUUCUCAUAUGCUAUCGUGAGGUCACCGGUUCAAUCCCGGUUCAUCCCA